UCUAGCCUGCUCACUGAUAUAAAUUAUUAAAUAGCCGCGGUAUCUUGACCGUGCAAAGGUAGCAUAAUCAUUAGUUUCUUAAUUGGAAACUCGUAUGAAUGGUUGGACAAAGAAGUGACUGUCUCUUUUAUUAAAGUUGAAUUUAACUUCUAAGUGAAAAGGCUUAGAUUUCCUAGAGGGACGAUAAGACCCUAUAAAGCUUUAUAAAUAUAAGGAUUUUAUAUAUUUUUAUAUAAUGAUAAUUUCUAAACGUUUAUUUGGUUGGGGCGACAAUGGUAUAAUUAAAAUAACUGCUAUAAAUUAUUACAGGAAUAUAUGAAUAAGAUGUGAAAUUGAUCCUUUAUAAGGAUUUUAAGAUCAAGUUACUUUAGGGAUAACAGCGUUAUUUUUUCUGAGAGUUCUUAUCAAAGAAAAAGUUUGCGACCUCGAUGUUGAAUUAAAUUGUCUUUAUAGUGCAGCAGCUAUAAGAGAAGGUCUGUUCGACCUUUAAAAUUUUACAUGAUUUGAGUUCAGACCGGCGAAAGCCAGGUCGGUUUCUAUCUUCUAGUAAAUAAUUAGAAUACUUUAGUACGAAAGGAUUAAGUAGUCAGAAUUUUUUUAGGCUUGAAAU
rnacentral:rRNA from 1 species